rnacentral:lncRNA from 1 species
ACCAACAUUGUAGGCGAUUGGUUCCUUUCUUUUCGAUUCCUGUGUUUUUCUCCCAUUCGAAUAACGUUAAGAGUACCUUAUUUGUUUAGUUAACACAUCAUCGAUGUUGUUGUUCGUUCCAUUCUUUUUUCAUGCACCAUAUAAUUAAAUCAUGCAUAAUUAAGAUAUUACUAUUUGUAUUAUAGGAUAUAAGUGAGGCGAAUAACAUAAAAUGUGCAAAAGAGAUGUUCACACUAUUCCAAAAUGGAAGGUAUGCAUCUCAUGGAAAAUAUAUUUACUGAAAAUUUAUAAAAUAACUGUUUCAAGAUUCUAGAUUUAUAGAGGAUAUGUGUUUCCCCAACAACCCUGUUGGCAAUUCCUUGCUGUAAUUUAAAUAAGACAAAAAAACUAAAUUAGAAUCUGCUUAUAGAAAGAAACUCCAAGUAAAGCUCGAGAAGAUUUAUAGAAAGGUUCUCUAAGGCAUCAGAACCGUUCAAGAGAUAUAUGCAGGAGUAAUUAAACGGAUACCAGAUAUUAAAGUGAAAGCAUGAGGUCGUGUUGCCAAAUACUUUCUGAAUAUCACAGAAAAUUAGAAUGGAAGGAAGGUAACAUGUUCUUCACGCUGAUCUCUAUUGCUAUACAAAUGUAAAUUCCUUGGGUUUUACUUUCCUUGGUCUGCAGGUUGUCUUUGGACAAGUCAAGGUCCCUGAGAUGUGAACAAAUCCACGGCUUUCCUUGGUCUGACCUCUAUGGCUAUACAAGUCAAGAAAUGCGCUUGGUUCACGAAGUCCUUGAAAACUUUCUUUUAGCGCACAGUUCUUUUGGGACAACUAAGACCCAUUGUAAUCUGUUUUGUAUCCAACAUUUGUACAUUCCAACUUCUCAACGCUGCAAAUAUAUUCAUGUUGUUACCUCACUCAGUUGAACAAACGGCUUGGCAGCAUAUUUCAC